UGAGGGAUUUCUAUUUCCACUUAUUCCCUCAGGUGAGAAAACUCAUGAAAGACUUCAUGGAGGAGAACCUAGAUCCUCAGUCCCAAAAGGGCAGAGAAAAGCAUGAGGUUUUUCUCUCAGACCCACUGAAAGCAGGAAUUAUUAUCCUGAUUGUGUACAACAAGUACCGAUUAAAAGAGGACAACGGAAGUCAACUCUCUCAUCUUUGUCAGCUGCUAUGCCUGCCAAAAAAGCCAAGAGACGAUUUCCUUGCUUACUGGACAGACUUCACCCAAGGCCUACCCAAGCAUAUUAGGUAUAUGUUCAUUGUCUUUUAGUCAGUUAACCUUGAAAUCCGGAGGUUAUUAUGAAUGUCAAGCUAAUAUGUGGUUAUUUGUAUACACAUAGUGUUGCAGAGGAAGUUAAGUCGCUAUGCAACGUUGCAAGAGAGGGGAGUGUUGUGAGCUGGAUCUUGGUCAUCCCUCUCCUGCAUCUGCUUCGAGGGGACAGCAAGCCCUUUGAGCCCGUUCCACCCACCAUGGAUCCACCGUUUGCCACCUGGGCAGGGCUUAAAGAGAUCCGAACAAAAGACUCCUACAGAGACACAAGGGGCCUGAUGAAGGUCAUGACAGAACACAAACACCUGGUGGAGGUGGAUCAUCUACUUGUGCGCUCCUGGAUGUGUCUGCUACAGUUGGAAAACUUGAUGAGCUUUAUAUCAGCCAUCCAUGUGGGUGUCUUGGACACUCUUCAGCAACUCCAGUUCAGUCUCAAGUCUGUAACGUCUUACUACACCUAUGGGGUAUGUGUCCUUGGUUGAAAAGUUAUUUCUUGCAACAGUGAGGCAAAAUUAUGAUGUUAUGGACUGAGAUUGAAUUCUGGAUGCAGUCCAUAACUUUGUGAGUUCAUAGUCUGCUUUGAUUGAGAAUUGCAGCAUGUAAUCAUAUCAAGGUAGUACAAUGUCCAGGAUUUAGUGGCGAUAUACUGUACUAAACAACGAUAUGUCAUUUAUCUAGCAACCAGUGAAAGCGAUUUUGUCAUAUCUUAUUGAAAUUACUGGACAACACUUCAGGUAUGAUAAAUAUGUAUACAUGAUAUUUUUACUAUGUUAUAUCUAGAGAAAAUAUCCAACAAUUAAAAGUGACAUUCCUUUAAAAUAUUGUAUUAUAAAUAAUUUGAGCUUCAUGCAGUUACAGAACAUCCUGUAGUGUUCCUUGACCCUCAAGUUAUUUGUUGUUGUUGUUAUCAGUGAUAACAGAUAUGGAGAAUGUUGCUUGAAAACAGCUGUGAGUGUUCUGGGGACAAUCUGUAAAGAUACUGCUGAUUCAGACCGCUGUGAGCUUCCACUGGACUGCCUGCAUCUGGUCAGUCUGAUUGCAGAAACUGCCGGAAGCUCUCAUCCACAGGUACGCCAUAUGUGAAGGGAAAGUAUUUUGUAUUUUGUAUUGGUCACAUACACGUGUUUAGCAGAUGUUAUUGCGGGUGUAGCUAAAUGCUUGUGCUUAU
rnacentral:lncRNA from 1 species